rnacentral:rRNA from 1 species
AACGCUAGCUACAGGCUUAACACAUGCAAGUCGAGGGGAAACGAUAUUGGAAGCUUGCUUCCGAUAGGCGUCGACCGGCGCACGGGUGAGUAACGCGUAUCCAACCUGCCCAUCACUUGGGAAUAACCUUGCGAAAGUAAGACUAAUGCCCAAUGACAUUUAUAGAAGGCAUCUGAAAUGAAUUAAAGAUUUAUCGGUGAUGGAUGGGGAUGCGUCUGAUUAGCUUGUUGGCGGGGUAACGGCCCACCAAGGCGACGAUUAGUAGGGGUUCUGAGAGGAAGGUCCCCCACAUUGGAACUGAGACACGGUCCAAACUCCUACGGGAGGCAGCAGUGAGGAAUAUUGGUCAAUGGGCGAGAGCCUGAACCAGCCAAGUAGCGUGCAGGAAGACGGCCCUAUGGGUUGUAAACUGCUUUUAUAGGGGAAUAAAGUGAGCCACGUGUGGUUUUUUGCAUGUACCCUAUGAAUAAGGACCGGCUAAUUCCGUGCCAGCAGCCGCGGUAAUACGGAAGGUCCGGGCGUUAUCCGGAUUUAUUGGGUUUAAAGGGAGCGUAGGCCGGAGAUUAAGCGUGUUGUGAAAUGUAGAUGCUCAACAUCUGCACUGCAGCGCGAACUGGUUUCCUUGAGUACGCAUAAAGUGGGCGGAAUUCGUGGUGUAGCGGUGAAAUGCUUAGAUAUCACGAAGAACUCCGAUUG